CCAGCUGAAGCCUGCCAUCCUGAGGAUGCAUUCCAGGAUAAUGUCCUCUUCUAGGCCAGGACUAAGGCACAAAUGACUCGCUGGAAAGCAGAGGAGCUGGGUUCAAACCAGCAAAGAUGAAUCUUGAUCAAAGAUGGGAAACAGGCCCUUGCUGCUCUUCUCUACUCCCCACUCUUCCCUGACAUCUGCCACAGCUGAGGGACACUGGACCUGAGGAGUGGACAACAUCAGGACAUGGGCUGGCCUUGCUCCUUGUGACCACCUUACUGCCAAGAACAGGGAUCAUGUGCACCCUUCAGGGUGGGAGUCUUGUGGCCUGUGAUUUCGCCCUGAGCCCAGUGGUCUCUGAGCCUCAGGCAAACUCAUCCGUGACGCCUGAAUCCCAACACAGACGGAUCCCCUGUCUGCCCUGGCCAUCCGCCCUUCCAGGCCCACUGCCCCAUCUCCAGCAUCCAGCACUCCCACUUUUUCAGCCCCCUUCUGUGUGCAAUCCUAAAGACAAGGGCUUUAAGCAGGGCAGACCUGGGCUUGGAUCUAGCCACAGCAACUUUACCACCAUGUGACCCCUAUGCUACAAGUUACCACAUUGCUCCAAGUCUCCUCAUUUGUAAAAUGAUGCAAAGAGCAGUUCUUGCUUCCUGGGAAAGUCUGGAGGAUAAAAGGUGCUUGGCACUCAGCAAGUACUUACUGAUGACUGCUGUUCCUGUCAUUACUGUUGCCACCCAAGCUCACACCAUGACCUAGCCCUGAACCUGCCAGGGCAGAGGGGUGUUUGGAGGCUGAGUUCAGGUUCCUCCUCCAGGCAAUUUGCCUUGGACUCCUCCCCUAUCUGCCCAUGGGAUCUCUGUCCACUCUGGAAUCCUUCCCCUCCCUUCCCUGCCAGGCCCUGGGACCUGAGCAUCCCCAUCUGGCGCAGGAUACAUGUUCAGUUAUCGGCAUCAUAUUAUGGGCAGGAUUAUUCAUUUUAUUGAUUAUAUCCUUCUUUGGGUCUAAGCCUAAGGAUUACGUCCCCCGACUCCCAAAUUCAUACACAAGGUUCAAACCUUUUUUUUAUCAAGACCCAAAGUAAGAAAUACAUUUUACACCAGGGCCAGCUACACAGAU
rnacentral:lncRNA from 1 species